GUCUACGGCCAUAGCAUCCUGAACGCGCCGGAUCUCGUCUGAUCCCUGAAGCUAAGCAGGGUUAGUAAUUGAUGGGAGACUGCCUAGGAGUACCGGGUGCUGUAGGCU
rnacentral:rRNA from 1 species